rnacentral:tRNA from 6 species
GGGCGCGUAGCUCAGUUGGUUAGAGCACUUCACUGAUAAUGAAGAGGUCGAUGGUCCGAGUCCAUCCGCGCCCACCA